AUGGUCGGUACAAAGGGUUGCCAAGCCGCGAGGUGGAGCUAAUCCCAUAAAACCGAUCGUAGUCCGGAUCGCAGUCUGCAACUCGACUGCGUGAAGUCGGAAUCGCUAGUAAUCGCGAAUCAGAAUGUCGCGGUGAAUACGUUCCCGGGCCUUGUACACACCGCCCGUCACACCAUGGGAGUGGGUUGCACCAGAAGUAGCUAGUCUAACCUUCGGGAGGACGGUUACCACGGUGUGAUUCAUGACUGGGGUGAAGUC
rnacentral:ncRNA from 1 species